rnacentral:lncRNA from 1 species
AUGUGUUGCCCAGUCCCCAGUCCAGCCGUGUGUUGCCCAGUCCCCAGUCCAGCCGUGUGUUGCCCAGUCCCCAGUUCAGCCGUGUGUUGCCCAGUCCCCAGUUCAGCCGUGUGUUGCCCAGUCCCCAGUUCAGCCGUGUGUUGCCCAGUCCCCAGUUCAGCCGUGUGUUGCCCAGUCCCCAGUCCAGCCGUGUGUUGCCCAGUCCCCAGUCCAGCCGUGUGUUGCCCGGUUCAGCCUCCAGUCCAGCCGUGUGUUGCCCGGUUCAGCCUCCAGUCCAGCCGUGUGUUGCCCGGUUCAGCCUCCAGUCCAGCCGUGUGUUGCCCGGUUCAGCCUCCAGUCCAGCCGUGUGUUGCCCGGUUCAGCCUCCAGUCCAGCCGUGUGUUGCCCGGUUCAGCCUCCAGUCCAGCCGUGUGUUGCCCGGUUCAGCCUCCAGUCCAGCCGUGUGUUGCCCGGUUCAGCCUCCAGUCCAGCCGUGUGUUGCCCGGUUCAGCCUCCAGUCCAGCCGUGUGUUGCCCGGUUCAGCCUCCAGUCCAGCCGUGUGUUGCCCGGUUCAGCCUCCAGUCCAGCCGUGUGUUGCCCGGUUCAGCCUCCAGUCCAGCCGUGUGUUGCCCGGUUCAGCCUCCAGUCCAGCCGUGUGUUGCCCGGUUCAGCCUCCAGUCCAGCCGUGUGUUGCCCGGUUCAGCCUCCAGUCCAGCCGUGUGUUGCCCGGUUCAGCCUCCAGUCCAGCCGUGUGUUGCCCGGUUCAGUCGAGUCACGCCCCAGUCCUUGUCCCAGUCAGAGGGCACCGUCUGUCUGACAACUGUUAGUUCCACCCAAUCAGGCCCGACGUCUCCCCCGUCGAGCUCGGCAGCUGUAAGCUGUCAUGCCAGCUCCGGAGGGGACGCCGUUCCAGUUCCUGUCGAUCCAUUAGGGGUCGUUCCAGUCCCUGUCGGCCAAGUAGAUGCCGUUCUUGUCCCUGUCGGCCAAGUAGAUGCCGUUCUUGUCCCUGUCGGCCAAGUAGAUGCCGUUCUUGUCCCUGUCGGCCAAGUAGAUGCCGUCCCAGUUCCUGUCGGCCAUGUUGAGGUCGUCCCAGUUCCUGUCCCAGUUCCUGUCGGCCAAGUUGAGGGCGUUCCCGUCGGCCAUGUUGAGGCCACUCCCGUUCCUGUCGGCCCUGUGGCGGUCGUUCCAGUCCUCGUUCCUGUCGGCCCGAGAGAGGUCGUUCCAGUCCCUGUCACCCUCGGAGCCGCAGCGCCCGCCGGCCUCCAGGAGGAGGCGGAGCCGCAGCGCCCGCCGGCCUCCAGGAGGAGGCGGAGCCGCAGCGCCCGCCGGCCUCCAGGAGGAGGCGGAGCCGCAGCGCCCGCCGGCCUCCAGGAGGAGGCGGCGCCUGCUGCAGUCCCCGCGCACCUCCAGGAGGAGGUCGCGCCAGCUGCAGUCCCCGCGCACCUCCCGGAGGAGGUCGCGCCAGCUGCAGUCCCCGCGCACCUCCCGGAGGGGGUCGCGCCAGCUGCAGUCCCCGCGCACCUCCCGGAGGGGGUCGCGCCAGCUGCAGUCCCCGCGCACCUCCCGGAGGGGGUCGCGCCAGCUGCAGUCCCCGCGCACCUCCCGGAGGGGGUCGCGCCAGCUGCAGUCCCCGCGCACCUCCCGGAGGGGGUCGCGCCAGCUGCAGUCCCGGCGGACCUCCAGGAGGGGGUCGCGCCAGUCAUAGUUCCUGCCGACCCGGCUCCGGCCGCUCCUGCAUCGGUUCCUGGCGGCCCGGCUCCGGCCGCUCCUGCGCCUGUGUCUCGUCGCGGUGGUCCAAGGAGGACGCCGCUGGUUCCUGCCUCUCGUCGCGGUGGUCCAAGGAGGACGCCGCUGGUUCCUGCCUCUCGUCGCGGUGGUCCAAGGAGGACGCCGCUGGUUCCUGCCUCUCGUCGCGGUGGUCCGAGGAGGACGCCGCUGGUUCCUGCCUCUCGUCGCGGUGGUCCGAGGAGGACGCCGCUGGUUCCUGCCUCUCGUCGCGGUGGCCCGAGGAGGACGCCGCUGGUUCCUGCCUCUCGUCGCGGUGGUCCGAGGAGGACGCCGCUGGUUCCUGCCUCUCGUCGCGGUGGUCCAAAGAGGACGCCGCUGGUUCCUGCCUCUCGUCGCGGUGGUCCAAAGAGGACGCCGCUGGUUCCUGCCUCUCGUCGCGGUGGUCCAAAGAGGACGCCGCUGGUUCCUGCCUCUCGUCGCGGUGGUCCAAAGAGGACGCCGCUGGUUCCUGCCUCGUCCUUGGCUCGGCUGCCGGACUGGUGGCCUCGCCCUCGGCGCCUCCUGCUGCCUGGAUGGCGCUGCCUCCUGCGGCGACGCCCGCCUCGACUCCUCAGCCCAUCGGAUCAGCGUCCGCCUGGAGGACGUUGCCAUUCGGGGUGGCCCCCGGGGACAUCGGCCCAGUUCAAGGGCACUAAGAGUGCCACCCUGGCUCAGCGGCUGCUGAGCAGGAUCUCGCCACGCCGUCACCCUCCGUGA